GAUGAAGAACGUAGCGAAAUGCGAUACUUGGUGUGAAUUGCAGAAUCCCGUGAACCAUCGAGUCUUUGAACGCACAUUGCGCCCUCUGGUAUUCCGGAGGGCAUGCCUGUCCGAGCGUCAUUGCUGCCCUCCAGCCCGGCUGGUGUGUUGGGCCCCGUCCCCCUUCCCGGGGGGACGGGCCCGAAAGGCAGCGGCGGCACCGCGUCCGGUCCUCGAGCGUAUGGGGCUUUGUCACCCGCUCUUGUAGGCCCGGCCGGCGCCAGCCGACCCCCUCAAUCUAUUUUUCAGGUUGACCUCGGAUCAGGUAGGGAUACCCGCUGAACUUAAGCAUAUCAAUAAGCGGAGGA
rnacentral:misc_RNA from 1 species